rnacentral:lncRNA from 1 species
CCCGCUGCCCCUCACUCCGAAUCGCCAUGGCUCUCGCCGUCCGCACGCCCCGCUGCCAGCCGCGGCCGACCUCCAUUUCCGCACCCGCCUCCGCCUCCACCUCCACCUCCCUCGCCGCCGCGAACGCGAGGCCCCGCCCCGGCGCCGCCGUCCGCGCCUCCGCCGCCUCGCCCUUCACCGAGGCCACCUCCUCCUCGCGCUACCGCCGCGAUGCCUGGUCCUACGCCGCCGACGGCUCCUCCAGCCCCGCGUCGUCGUCGUCGUCGCCCUCCGAUGCCGCCGCCGCCGCCGCCGCGGCGGGCCGCCGGGACGACGAGAUCGCGCUGCAGCUGCCGGAGCUGCGGAGGCUCCUGGACGCGCUGAGGGCUUCCAGGGGGAGGAGCGCCGAGGGGGAGGGCGGCGGCGGUGGGCCUGGGAGGGUGGCGCUGGUCGGGACGGGACCCGGGGACCCCGAGCUGCUCACGCUCAAGGCCGUCCGUGCCAUCGAGGUCGCGGACCUGGUGCUCUACGACCGGCUGGUGUCCAACGACGUGCUGGACUUGGUCGGGGAGGGCGCAAGGCUUCUAUACGUCGGCAAGACGGCGGGAUACCACAGCCGCACACAGGUGAGUAAUGCUGUGCCGUCGAUUCAAUUGCGAUCAAUUGAUACACGCUGUUAGAAAUGCUAAUUGGGUGUGCAUUCGGCAAUUAACAUUUAAAGUACAUUAUUAUUAUUUUAACAAUGCAUCAGAUAGCUUUCAUGAAGCAAAACAGAGCAUGCCAUAUUUCUGUCUAAAAAACCAGUGAACUGAGGUGGCCUAAGUUUAGGAGUUAGGAGUUUGUACCUUUUCUUCCCCUUGUUGCUAAUUUGUAUGCCUGAUGGCUGAUUGAUGCAAUGUAGGAGGAGAUUCAUGAGCUGCUCCUCAGCUUUGCGGAGGCUGGUGCCAAUGUGGUGCGGUUGAAAGGCGGCGAUCCUCUGGUAAUCUGUCAAUCCUUAUUUCAAACCUACUUAUCUGUUGAGAAUUCAUGUGACAAUUCCAGUUGCUAGCCUAGCUCAAACAUUAAACUACUUAGUAAACUUUGCUAUUGGUCGUAUCAUGUUCAUCCGCAUUGAGUAACUUUUUGAGUAAAGAUAGUGAUCCAUUCUUAGUCUGCUUUAAUUUUUUUUUCAAGUAAUGAAUCCAUACAAAUUGAUGGUCUCAUACUGACCAGUAUUGGUAUCAUCAGUAUAUAUUGGUUGUAGUUUGUCACUCUUCAAAGCAGAAAAUCAUCCAAGCUAACCUCUUUUUAGGUUACUGCAUGGCUUUUCACAUAAAGUUCUUAAACUUGGAAAUAAACAAGAUUAGUAGGAUGGAAAUAGAUCAAGCAUCGUUCAAGUUUUGGGCUUGCAGUUUGCACAUUAAUGUUGAUGAACCCAGUCCUCAUCUAACUUGUCCAGUUAUCAAUGCAGAAAUAUUCUUAUUGAAAUAAUCUGGCAUAAAUCGAUGAAGAACAGUAAAUGAUGUCGUGUAUUUAAUCUGUAUAGUAGUAACUGGAAUUUUCUUUGAUUUUCCGUUUUCAUUCAUUUUGCCAAAAGGAUUUCUAUUCUUAUGGGUAGUACAUGAAAGGGGAUUAGCAUAACUGCAUAACAUAUUAACAGAAAGAAUAGAGGGGUCAUAGGGUUACCUGCAAUUGCAUUUGUUUUCUUAACACAACAGAGGCAAGGAAAGUAGUAAAAAUACUAGAAAAUUUAUUAUAUUUGUGCACACAGUGUUUUACUGCAUCAGAGAACUAAUUGGCAUUGCAUAUGAGCAUCUACCUUUACCUUGGAAGACAUUUAUAGGCCCUAAAUUCACUUUGUAUUCCUUUCAGGUCUUUGGAAGAGGUGGAGAAGAGAUGGAUUUCUUACAGCAGCAAGGGAUUAGAGUUGAAAUUAUCCCAGGUAUGAUAAGCCCACUAUGGAAUCUGGAUAAUUUGCAGUUUUGGUUGGUUCCAGUUAUGAAUUGCUUGGAUCAAACCUCUGCAGGAAUUACUUCUGCUUCAGGAAUUGCAGCAGAACUAGGCAUUCCACUAACCCAUCGAGGUGUUGCUACCAGGUAAGCUUAGUAUUUUGCACUUGCAUCUCUACCUAACUAACAUUCAUAUGGAGCUUCUGGUCAUGCCAAAAGGUUUUGCUCUUUAUAGAGAACUCCUUUCUCAAAAUUGCUCUUGUGCAAACUUCACCAUUAGUGCUCAGUCUUUGGUUUAGGAGCUGCAGCACCUCCUCAAAUGCAUUUUUGCAAUUAGCAUAUAUGUUUGAUUUAGGAUAAGGAUUUUCUUGGCAGUAGUGUUGAGGCUUCAAGCUUUUAAGUGCUUGCUGUUUCCUUGACCAUACAUGUAUAUGCUGCGUAGUCAGAGGGUUCAAUAUUAUUUUUCUGCAUUUGAUUAUCUCUUUGUUUUGAUGUUCUGUGACUAAUGAUGUAGCAUUUUUUUAAGAAAAAAAUGCCUUAGUGAGGUGAAUGGCACUACUAUGCCAAAAGGCUAUAAUGUUUGGCUCUGUCACCUCUCGUAUUGAUAAAUGAGCAGAAAGACACUAGUUCCUUUCUGAUGUUGUAUUGUACAGUUUCAAAAAAUUUCGAAGUGCUUAGCAGGAUAUUCUUUGACAUACAAUCCUUUCUGUAGUGUCAGAUUUUUAACUGGGCACUCUAGAAAUGGUGGGACAGAUCCUCUAUAUGUGGCAGGGAAUGCAGCUGAUCCAGACACCACUUUAGUUGUGUACAUGGGUUUGUCAACACUGCCAUCCCUUGCUCCAAAGUUAAUGAAGCACGGCCUUCCACCAGAUACCCCUGCUGUUGCCGUAGAGCGUGGCACUACCCCUCAACAACGAAUGGUACUGACUCAUAUGCCCUCACUAACUAAACUGUGUUUAACUAUACAUGCUCAAUAUUUCUUGUUCUGUAGGUAUUCGCAUUGUUAAAGGAUCUCGUAGAUGAAGUCAAGUUGGCUGAUCUAGUUUCUCCGACUCUAAUAAUUAUUGGAAAAGUGGUGGCCUUGUCACCCUUUUGGGUUGAACCAUCUGAACAUGAUGCACUGAAGACCGAGAACUCAUACGCAAGUGAGGCCAGAUGAUAGCAGCCUUUCCUGAAUUAAGUGCUUGGACAGUCCUUUGCAAAUUUCCAGACAUGAGCAAUUCUAAUUGAGAUCUAAGGUUGUCUGAUCUGGUUUAGUUCGGGUCAUAUGAGCAGAGUUUUGACGCCCCUUGAAAUUUCAGGAAGCAUGAAAUCUGAAUUAUGGACGGCAGCUUUAUACACAGGAAGCCCAUAAACAACCUUGGAGCCGCAGCGUACUUGAACGGGUGGCACCUCACAGUGUGGACUACUCUACCUGAGAUCUGCAAUCGUAGGUUUAUUUGAGUUUGGCAAUAGUUGUGGGAGGAGGUGUUGGUUUUCUGAAUUGUCAUU